GAUCCUGGCUCAGAUUGAACGCUGGCGGCAGGCUUAACACAUGCAAGUCGAGCGGAGAUGAGGUGCUUGCACCUUAUCUUAGCGGCGGACGGGUGAGUAAUGCUUAGGAAUCUGCCUAUUAGUGGGGGACAACAUUCCGAAAGGGAUGCUAAUACCGCAUACGUCCUACGGGAGAGAGCAGGGGAUCUUCGGACCUUGCGCUAAUAGAUGAGCCUAAGUCGGAUUAG
rnacentral:rRNA from 1 species